CGUCGGCAGCUGUGUGUGUGUGCGUGCGUGCCCCCGCGCGCGCGUAGAAUCCGACAGCACGCCGGGACUGCGUUUCCUAAGGAAAGCUCAGCUCUCAGUUUUGUGCCCGUCUUAUUGCCGCUCUCAUUGUCUUUGUCGGCAGUGAUAAAGAGAGCAGUUCAUUCGGGGGCCUGUUUUUGGAAUAAGAAAAAGGCAUUGCUGUUUUCUGACUUUGAGUGAAGAAAGAAGGGACUCCUCUGGAAUUUCCUAAGGAAUUUAUUCGGACAGCCCAUGUUGCGAGGGCUUUGCAUUCUUCCGCCUGGGUAUAGAAUGUGACCAACCAUUCCGCACUAGGGAAAUUCGGAGGAGUUCUGUUCUUUCGUCGCUCUGGUCCGAGGCAGCAAUCGCAGCUGAUUAUUCCAAACGGGUGGGGACAAAGGGGGCAUUAAUUUCACUGGUGUGUCGGUGAGGUAAAACCGCAGCAUCGGGCAGCAUGUUGGCACCUGCGUGAUCCCACCAAAGAAGCCUCAUUACUCGUUCUCUUUCCUGAGACGUCAACCACAGGAUGAGGCCUGCGGCAGCCUUACGUCUUAACCUAAUUUCAUGGUCUGUGGGUUUGGAUGGAUGGCUCUGCUGCAACCUUUACACCGAGGGGAGGAGAGAGAGUGCCGUGAGUGCGUAUGGUGUGCGCGCGCGUGUGUGAGCAUCUAUGUGAGUGUGCACUUACACAAUAGCACAAUUGGGGAAGAGCAAAGAAGAAAGAGAGAGAGAGAGACCGGAUGCACCGCUACAAUAGCACAGAGAAUUGUAGUCAGUGGCAGAUAUUAACCUUUUAACCUUGUACUUUCUGUUAACAAAAAUACAUUAAGCUGGAUAGCUGACAGCGAAUUGGGGUUUUACAGACUUUGACUGAGCAUGACUGAAUGAUGAGGUGGACCUAUUUUGUGGUAAUGCACUUCAAUUACAGAAGCAAGUCUGCUAAAAACACAUAAGCUCAAGCAAGAUAUAUUAGGGAAUUUGGUAACGGCAAAUUAUUCCCGUUGUUGAUCUGAAUGACAUAUGAACUACGCCUGACUGGAAAAGCUGGAGCAGGGAAAACAAUGCAACAUUACAUACAGAGCAGCGGAUGAACUUUAACGAUCCCAAACAGAAUUAGUCGUUGAUUAGAUAACAGGUAUUUUCAAGUAGAUGCGAUUAUUUUUGGGGUCAGCGUAACAGCUCGGUGUGUUCUUAAGCAAAAUGUCAACAUUGCCCUUUUAGUUUGUCCGAGUAUCUUUUGGUGUGACGGCUUAUUUAGCCAAACCAUGCAUGACACCAAUUAUACUGGAGGGAAAUCGAUUCCAACAAAGCUCUCUGCUUGGACAAACAAUAAAAUGAUCAAAGUGACUGGAUGGGUUUUUUUUCUUCCAACAAGCAGCAAAAUUACUUUGUACUUUAAAGCUUAGUUUUUAACCCGGUCAAAAUGGGUAAUUCUUAAAGCUGUUAAAGAGUGUUCUCCAGCGUGAUAUGAAGACAUGGAUAUACACACAGAGAGGAAAAAGAAAGCUAAAUAAGCAGCAAGAGCAACAAAGAGGAAGAAACAAGAUGAAAGACGAACGCUGCUUCGCUAUAACAACAGAAGGACAUCUCAUUGUUUUGUUGCAAAUUGUCCCAAUCGAGUCCACAGAGUUUUACCGUAGGCACAAUUGUUUUUUCACACAGUAAGUGACAUAGCUGGUCACAGUCUAUUUAAAGAAACUGAUACUUAGUGCAGUCUUCUUGCUGUAGCUUUCACAUAUCAUAAUGCAUAAUAAAUCACAUUUUGAUGUUAUGACAGAACGUGCAAAUUUACUAAUAACUAAUAAUAAUAGAUUUGUCAUUUCUUUUUGGUAAUUUGUAUCAACUUAUCCAAAAGUUCAAAUAAUAAAAAUUGCUAACACAAUUUAAAGCAAAUCCUUCCCGUGCUAGGUGUAGCGGCACUGUUCUUCAGCGGAUUAUUCACGGGCACAUUCUGUGCUCAAUUAAAAACGCGCCAUUUUCUAAUUAUUAACGGUUUACCUUUGUCUCACACAUGGUUCUAAGAGACCACCACUGCUGCAUUUAAUCAACCCCUUACCUUGCUUUUGAGACAUUUAAUUUUCCACGCUGUCAUUAUCCAUGUGCAUUUUGUCAAGUUCAGAAGAGAGAAGAAACAGUGAGUCGCCCAGUUUGCAUGAAGCUUAUUUUAAUUACUGUAGUAUCUUACUCUGCUACUGUCCUCACUGAAAGUACAGUACUGUGAAACAUAUUAAAACCAUAAUGAAUAUGCUAAUUAGCCUUUUUUAUAUUCAGAACCCAGCUGUGGUUUUAUAUUCUAAUGAUAAAAGCAUCUUUUUAUGUAAGCUAUAAUAAGUGCAUGUAAUUGCUGAUAUUAUUGUAAUUGAUGUCUAUGUUACGAUGCAGGAGUUCAUCGUGACUGAGCUACGAGUCUACAGCACGGCCUUAAUCCAUUUAACUUGUGAUUGAACACAUAAACCAGUGAUUUGAGCAAACCGCUGGUCAGUGUUUUUAUCAGGAAGGAACAUUUUCAUGGUCAAAAUGUAUACAAAUGGCCAAGGCUACAUAAUCACACAUGGAUUAAUGCACGAAGCCCAAAAACUUUCCUACACCAAGGAGGCACAGAGUUAGCAUGGUAACAUGUUUAAAUUAGCACUGUAUAGUCAAGCGUAAAAGAUUUUAGAAAGUAUGAAAGUAUCAAACUUUAGCAUAUAAUUUAAAAUACAAAAGGCACCUCCACUGCAAACAAUAAAUAAAUAAAAUAAAUAAAAAACUUUUGUUAGGCGUUACAGUGUGCUACACUAUUUUUUGACUGUGCUUUAACAAGGGAAGGCUGGUCGCUGUAUUUGUCGCCAGGAAAUGUGAUGAUUACUUUUUAAGGACAUGCUUUUGCAUCAGUGUCACUGCAGCAGCAAGAGUGAAAGUUGUGCCGGAUGUGCGGAUUUGAACGGGAAUAUUAAAUUACACCUGCUUUUGAUAAUAAUGCCGGGCAUGCUGAGUAUCUGUGACAGUCCAAACCCACCCUGAGGACACAACAAAUUGUACCUGCUGUUCCCGAUGGGCUGUCCAGGUGUGCUAAUAAUUUCUUCAUUUUAAAGACUGUUUACUGCUCGGUGCCGUUCUUCCUGUUCUCAAAGGACUCAAUUCAGUGCUGUGAAAAAUUAAGUAGAUCUCAUGAUUCAAUAGCUUGUAGAAUCUUUGGAGAAGAAUCAUUUCUGCAUGACUUGGUUGUAAAAGACUUUUGGGGACUUUUUCUUUAUAGUGGUGCUUUAGUUCACUGAAGUUUGCAAGUAUUUGUUUAUGCACAGAGUUCUUAAAGUCCCACGACAGCAUUUCAAUCAGACCGAGGUCUGGACUUUGACUGGGUCAUUGCGAUGCCUCGACUCUUUUCUUUUUCAGUCAUUCUGUUGUGGAUUUGCUGCUGUGCUUGGGAUCAUUGUUCUGUUGCAUGACCCAGUUUGGGCGAAGCUUCAGAAGUCAGACUUUCUUUUUCGCAGGACCGUAUGGCAUGUGCCAGAACCACACAGACCAUUUCCUGAAGUCUGCUGUGACUGUCAAGCCCCAUGGUCCAGGAAAGCCUUAUAUGUGAUUACCUCAUCAUACAGUUCUGCAGACUCCCAUAUUUGGCAUGGCCACAGCCAGAGACUAGAGAUGCCAAAAGUUCAGUUACACUUUUAGAUAGUUCUUGCCAACAAAUAUAGCAGGAAGUAUUUCACAUUCUGAGGCUGGAUCAUAAAAUAAAUCAAUUUUACACUGUGUGGAUACAAAUUG